rnacentral:tRNA from 1 species
CAGAAUAUAGCUUAAUUAGGAAAGCACUUCACUUACACCGAAAAGAUAUCCGUGCGAAUCGGGUUAUUCUGA